AGCGAACGCUGGCGGCAGGCCUAACACAUGCAAGUCGAACGGACCCUUCGGGGUUAGUGGCGGACGGGUGAGUAACACGUGGGAACGUGCCCUUUGGUACGGAACAACUCAGGGAAACUUGAGCUAAUACCGUAUAAGCCCUACUGGGGAAAGAUUUAUCGCCAUUGGAGCGGCCCGCGUCUGAUUAGCUAGUUGGUGAGGUAAAGGCUCACCAAGGCUACGAUCAGUAGCUGGUCUGAGAGGANGAUCAGCCACAUUGGGACUGAGACACGGCCCAAACUCCUACGGGAGGCAGCAGUGGGGAAUCUUGCGCAAUGGGCGAAAGCCUGACGCAGCCAUGCCGCGUGAAUGAUGAAGGUCUUAGGAUUGUAAAAUUCUUUCACCGGGACGAUAAUGACGGUACCCGGAGAAGAAGCUCCGGCUAACUUCGUGCCAGCCGCCGCUGUAAC
rnacentral:rRNA from 1 species